AUACGAACUGUGCAAACGUUAUUGGGAAUCACUGGGCUUAAAGGGUGCGUAGGCGGACUUGAAGGUCCGAUGUGAAAUCCCACGGCUCAACCGUGGAAUUGCGUCGGAAACCACAAGUCUUGAGGGAGUCAGAGGUAAGCGGAACUGAUGGUGGAGCGGUGAAAUGCGUUGAUAUCAUCAGGAACACCGGUGGCGAAAGCGGCUUACUGGGACUUUUCUGACGCUGAGGCACGAAAGCUAGGGGAGCGAACGGGAUUAGAAACCCUUGUAGUCC
rnacentral:rRNA from 1 species